rnacentral:rRNA from 1 species
UACGUAGGGUGCGAGCGUUGCCCGGAUUUAUUGGGCGUAAAGGGCGCGUAGGCGGCCACGCACGUCCGUUGUGAAAUCGCCCGGCUCAACUGGGCGGGGUCAGCGGAUACGGUGUGGGCUAGAGCAAGCUAGGGGCAAUGGGAAUUCCCGGUGUGAGUGGUGGAAUGCGUAGAUAUCGGGAGGAACACCAGUGGCGAAGGCGGUUGCCUGGAGCUUUGCUGACGCUGAUGCGCGAAAGCGUGGGGAGCGAGCCGG